GCCUGGGUGGCUCAGUCGGUUGGGUGUCUGACUUUUGCUCAGGUCAUGAUCUCACGGCUUGUGAGUUGGAGCCCCACCUCGGGCU
rnacentral:tRNA from 1 species